CAGACUGAUCGGCACGACGUGGGGACCAUCUCUGCAGCAGGAACAGAGUGCAGUGGAAAACAAAGUGUUGGAUUGGCAGCGGGGCAGAGGUAAAACUCUGCCUGCAUCCGAGUCCAGUGGCGAGUGAGAGGCGCUUGGGGGCGGACCACAGCAAGGACGCGGUGCAACUGGACCAAUCCUGAGACGGCUGCGGGGUGGAACUAAGAACUCACUACUUUUGUGGACUCUGCUGCUGGACAAUUAUCCUGGACUGGAAGCCUCCCGUUUUUAGUUGUUUUACUGAUUUUAGAUUAUUUAAAGAAAACAUUUUAUUGUGUUUUUUAAGCUUUUUAAGAGACUGGUUUUUAGGAGAAAUAAAAACCCUCCAUUUCAA